GGAAAGUCUUUGCACUAAUGUCAAUCUGCAUGUGUAUAGGAAUUUAAAAUUGAUGCAAACUCAUGAUUGUACACGAGACGUUGCAUUGGGGGCCUAUGAGUGUUUUAUGAGGAGACGCUUUCUUGGUGAGAAGCCGGAUGCUCAGAAGGCUGCUGGAAGGAAAUACUUCGUGUCUGUUCAUAUCCUUCACCCACUUUUUGAUGGGGUUGUUUGUUUUUUUUCUUGUAAAUUUGUUUGAGUUCUUUGUAGAUUCUGGAUAUUAGCCCUUUGUCAGAUGAAUAGGUUGCAAAAAUUUUCUCCCAUUGUGUAGGUUGCCUGUUCACUCUGAUGGUAGUUUCUUUUGCUGUGCAGAAGCUCUUUAGUUUAAUUAGUGGAUCUUUUUUUAAGGGAAUAAAAA
rnacentral:lncRNA from 1 species